UACGUAGGGUCCGAGCGUUGUCCGGAAUUAUUGGGCGUAAAGGGCUCGUAGGCGGUUUGUCGCGUCGGGAGUGAAAACUCAGGGCUCAACCCUGAGCGUGCUUCCGAUACGGGCAGACUAGAGGUAUGCAGGGGAGAACGGAAUUCCUGGUGUAGCGGUGGAAUGCGCAGAUAUCAGGAGGAACACCGGUGGCGAAGGCGGGUCUCUGGGCCGUAACUGACGCUGAGGAGCGAAAGCAUGGGGAGCGAACAGG
rnacentral:rRNA from 1 species